rnacentral:pre_miRNA from 1 species
AUCCUUCUGAAUCCGUGCCGAGAUUUCGUCAAACGCUAGACCAUCAAGACCGAUGAGACUUUCAAGAUAAGUGAAGCA